UUUACCUUCUCCUUUACUUUGCAAGUAAAUAAGGGAUUCAAUAAGAGUUGGCAAUUUUCUCACCCACAGCCUCCGAGCAGCUCUCUAUUUUUGAUGAUGAGUAGUAAUUCCAACGUUUCUCCUCAAAAAAAGCCCCGGCACGCACACAAACCCUCCCACCCUUCCACACUUUAUAUUUUCCUAAUGGAAAGGGUUUACUUUAGUAAGAAAUUGCCCUUCAUUUAUGAAAAAAACCCAUUUGAUUACUUGAAAAAAGAAAAUCCCUGCUGAGCCACAGUGAUUUUGUGCUGCUGAAAUAAUCCAUGUUUUUGGGGGUCUUUUUUGAUAUAAAAUAUAAAAUUCAGAUGGCAUCAAUAGGUUGGGAAGCUGUGGAAUAUCCAUCCCAUUGGCUUCUGCCAUCCUGACUGGGAAUAUCAGAUGGAAUUUCCUGCAGAGGUGGCUCAGGGUGACAAUUUGGAGUGAGGGAAGGUGAGGAUUUGGGGGAGAAGGGAACCCAGCCCCGGGGAUUGUCCCCAGGAGAGGUUUGGGAAGUGCAGGUGGUAUUCCCAUGGGAUCAAAACCAUUUGGAAAAUCUGAUUCCCAGCAGGUUUGGGAGCAGGACACCACCAUGGUGCACCAGCAAUGGAUGUGGAUGGUGCUGGGCAUCCCAUCCCUGAGUGGAGGAUUUACCCUCAGCAGCAGCACAUUUUGUAGAGAACUCCAGGGAAAUCAUGGAAAUUCCACUGGCUCCAUGGGGGAGAGGUGGGAGGGAAGGGCUGGGAGCUGGGAGUGGUGUUCCCAGCCAAACCUUGCUUUAAACAGCACCUGCCAAAGCCAGCCUGGGCUCCAGCUUCCAGCAGCAACAUUUCUGCAUUGGAGGCAACGCUGAGGACCAGAGCCCAUCCAUGGCCAUGGAGAGCCACAAAUUCCAGCAGCUUGGGGCUGGAAGGGACACUAAGGAUCAGCUCAGGGACACCUUCUGCUAUCCCAGAUUGUCCAACGUGACCUUGACCAUUCCAGGGAUGAGUUUUCCUGGAGUUCCCUGCACUCUCAGACCCCAGGUGCAAUAUUUGGGGACCACUUCUCAUCUGGCCCAGACAAAAAAUGACUCUCCUUGAAUCCAGGGGUGUUGGCAAUGAGCAAGUGAAGGUUGGAGGCAGCCUGGGCCAUGCAGAGGUGGCUCCGUGCCAAACUCAUGGAAAGCUCCUGGGAAGGAGCCUCUCCUCCCCUGAAUUAGCUCCCUGCAGCUUCAAAAAAAGGCCCUGAAUAAUGUAGACAGGAAAAUGAGCACAGGACAAUCUGUCUGCCACCCAGCUUAUCCAAAUAUUGCUAUUUUUGGGCUCUGUUUGAGUUUCUCUGCUCCUCAGAGGCACAUCCCAAGAUCCUGGUGCUUUUGAUCUGGGACACACUGAAUAAUUCCCUUUAAACAAUAAUAAAAGAGGAUUUUUUUUUCCCACACUGCCUCCAUAGCAACCACUGAUGUCAUAAAUGUGGGGACAUGACUUCAUGGCAGCACCUGAGCUCAGGAGGAACCUCUGCUCCAGAGCAAAUAUCCUGCAGGAGAGAGGGAAAUGUGGAAAACUGAGGGAACAGCAGAGCACUGCUUUCCAUAAAUUCCUUUUCCCUCUGCUGAGGGUGAAAAUCCCUUCCCAAGGCAUCCAGCACUGAGUGGGAAUCCAGGGGCUGGAGCUCAACCUGUGCUCCCCAGAAGAGGGGAAAAGCUGUCAUGUUAUAUCAGGAGCCUGUGAGAGCAAAGGAGAAAUCAUCUGGGGGGAAUUCAAGCCAUCUGAGGAAAUCCAAGCCACCACUGAUGGAAAAUCUCUGCGGGAAGAGCUCCCUGCUCAUCCCUGGGAUUGCUCUGGGAUGGCUGAGCCGAGCUCCUGGGAGGCGUCCUGGACAAAAAUAAAAUGUACUGAGGCAUUUCCAA